GGAGAGAUGGCCGAGUGGCUUAAGGCAACGGUUUGCUAAACCGUCGUAGAGUUUUUGACUCUACCGAGGGUUCAAAUCCCUCUCUCUCCU
rnacentral:tRNA from 1 species